rnacentral:RNase_MRP_RNA from 15 species
CGCAGCUGACGUCUUGGGAGGUCACUCCCUUUUGGCUGCGAGGAAAGUCCCCGUGCCGUGGAGCAGAGAGUGCAAGUGGGAGACCGCAGGGUCGACCUGCUUUGCUGCUGUGGCGAUGCUUUCCUUUUGCAGAACCUUGGCGGCGAGCUUCGGCCCUUUGCAGCAACACAGAGAUGCCGUGUGCAGGUGGUGCCUUCUUGGCGUUCACUUGCAAACAGAACGGGGCUCACUCUCC